GUCAACACAAACAAGACAAACUUAGAAAAAAAAAGAGCUUCAUAUAAAAGUACAAAUGAUUGCCUCCACUCGGAAAAAAACAUCUUAAGUCAAUUAUUCGUGUAGUUAAUGUUUCAUCAAAUGAAUUUCCUUUUUUCCUUAAAACUAUUACAUCCAUUCCUUUUACAAGCAAAUGCCGUUAAUAUUAAGCUUAUUUUUGCCUUACAUUUUUCUAGUCGUGGGGAAGGUGAACCACAUAGUGAUGUGAUCAUCAUCAGGGUUUUUAUUAUUAUUAUUUUUUUUCUUGGACGAGAGCAUAUCCAAAGUGUUAAGAAUUUAAAUUCUAUCCUUCAGACAUACUUCAGGAAUCCAUUUUAUAGAUGGCAGCUUCUUCUGCAGAAAGGGAAUUUUUUUUUUUCCAGCGUCAAUUCUCCAGAUUCAUGUCACAUCUUAAACUUCAAAGAAAUUUCAAAAACGUUAGCAUCACACUCCAGGUCUUUAGCCUCGGCACCUGUGCUGGAAGGGAAAACACACCCCUGUACACGCAGGUGGGUGUACACACACACACACA